GUACGGCGAGUGACCGGGAUGAGCUCAAAUUUAAAAUCUGGCGUCUUUCAGGCGUCCGAGUUGUAAUCUAUAGAGGCGUUUUCCGCGCCGGACCGCGUCCAAGUCUCUUGGAAUAGAGUAUCAAAGAGGGUGACAAUCCCGUACUUGACGCGACAACCGGUGCUCUGUGAUACGUUCUCAAUGAGUCGAGUUGUUUGGGAAUGCAGCUCUAAAUGGGUGGUAAAUUCCAUCUAAGGCUAAAUAUUGGCGAGAGACCGAUAGCGAACAAGUACCGUGAGGGAAAGAUGAAAAGCACUUUGGAAAGAGAGUUAAACAGCACGUGAAAUUGUUAAAAGGGAAACGAUUGAAGUCAGUCGUGUGAAAGGUAUUCAGCCGUCUCUGGCGGUGUAUUUGCCUUUCACGGGUCAACAUCAGUUUGAUCCGGUAGAAAAAGGCGGGAGGAAGGUGGCACCCUCGGGUGUGUUAUAGCCUCCUGUCAUAUGUGCCGGACCAGACUGAGGAACGCAGCUUGCCGCAAGGCCGGGGUUCGCCCACGUACAAGCUUAGGAUGUUGACAUAAUGGCUUUAAACGACCCGCUGA
rnacentral:rRNA from 1 species